rnacentral:rRNA from 1 species
UACGUAGGGUGCGAGCGUUAUUCGGAAUUACUGGGCGUAAAGCGUGCGCAGGCGGUUUUGUAAGCCAGGUGUGAAAUCCCCGGGCUCAACCUGGGAAUGGCAUUUGGGACUGCAAGGCUGGAGUGUGGCAGAGGAGACUGGAAUUCCUGGUGUAGCAGUGAAAUGCGUAGAUAUCAGGAGGAAUACCGAUGGCGAAGGCAGGUCUCUGGGCUGACACUGACGCUCAUGCACGAAGGCGUGGGGAGCAAACAGG